UAAAGGAUUUCGGUUAUCGAUGGGGAUGCGUUCCAUUAGUUAGUUGGCGGGGUAACGGCCCACCAAGACGACGAUGGAUAGGGGUUCUGAGAGGAAGGUCCCCCACAUUGGAACUGAGACACGGUCCAAACUCCUACGGGAGGCAGCAGUGAGGAAUAUUGGUCAAUGGACGAGAGUCUGAACCAGCCAAGUAGCGUGAAGGAUGACUGCCCUAUGGGUUGUAAACUUCUUUUAUAUGGGAAUAAAACAGGGUAUGCAUACCCUCUUGUAUGUACCAUAUGAAUAAGGAUCGGCUAACUCCGUGCCAGCAGCCGCGGUAAUACGGAGGAUCCGAGCGUUAUCCGGAUUUAUUGGGUUUAAAGGGAGCGUAGGUGGAUUGUUAAGUCAGUUGUGAAAGUUUGCGGCUCAACCGUAAAAUUGCAGUUGAAACUGGCAGUCUUGAGUACAGUAGAGGUGGGCGGAAUUCGUGGUGUAGCGGUGAAAUGCUUAGAUAUCACGAAGAACUCCGAUUGCGAAGGCAGCUCACUGGACUGCAACUGACACUGAUGCUCGAAAGUGUGGGUAUCAAACAGGAUUAGAUACCCUGGUAGUCCACACAGUAAACGAUGAAUACUCGCUGUUUGCGAUAUACAGUAA
rnacentral:rRNA from 1 species